UCCCACAGGUGCCUGGAUUAUGUUUGCAGCAGAUUCAGCCUUGUUCAGCAGGCCAAGGACGGUACAAUCUGUUUUAGAGGAAACUAUUGAUGGAUGCAUUGGAUUGAAGAGGCAAGAUGCAUCAUUUCACCUGCUUGGGACUGGAUGCAAAAGGUGAUUGAAAUGCACAGCAAAAUAUUAUUACUCGACAUCUUUUCAGAGCGUUGAGUAAUUUCAUUAAUCUUUUAAUAUUCUUUCAAUUUUCUUUUAAAUAUCUUUUAAUAUAUGCACUGAGAACUGAGGUAUCAAGAAGUUCCUUUUCUUGUUUGGUUUUGUUUUGUUUUUUUCCCCUAAGUUGGACCAGGGCUGCCUGACCUGACCACCCCACUCCACCUGGGUAAGGAGUGCGUGUCCCUGUCCCCAGCCCUCAUCCCGAAGCGGCUGCUCCCGGGAGGGGACGGGUUGAGCUACGGGCGAACACCUGGAUCCUGGAAAUACCUGGAGUCCGGGAACGGUACCGCAGGACACAGUGCCCGAAGUCAGGGCAUUGUGAACUGCUCUGGGAAUAAAGGCACUGCAGAAAUACACUGGGUUUUUUUUAGAUGAGUGUCAUUGCUUUAAUAGAAAGUACUUUAAAGAGGUUUCCGUAGCCUCUUCAGCGUGCAAAAUACAAAGCAAAACAAAAACCGCAAACAAAUCAAAGCACCCAAACUAUCGAGAAGAACCACCAUCAACAACGAGUGCUGUGUUGCGGUUCCUCUCCCCUCUCGCUCCCCCGAGGCCGCGGUGAGGGAGCGGCGCUGCCCGCGGGCUCGGCCGGCGGCGAUCGCCGCUCAGGACGGCUCUGCCCGGCGCUCUUUCCCUCCCUCGGGCGGGACUCCAGCUCACCCCGGCUGCCGCAGGUGCCCGGCGCCGCUCUCUGCCGCCCUGCCGGGGCCGGGCUCUGCUCUGCCCGGGCACCAGCGCCCGCCCUCCGCAGGAGUUUGAGGCCCAAGUUAAACAGUGACCAGUAUGCUCAGCAGCAGAGGAAGGAAGGCGUCUACAGCAAAUUGGUUCUGUGGCUGUCAUGAGCAGAUUGUCCAGGCCCCAGACAUUGCCUUUUGUUCCAUUCCAUUAUCUGAGAACAACUCGGACUUCGAAUCUGAAGGCCCUGAAUUAGGACUGGCCAGCACCAUGAGAACACCAGGAAGCUGUGCCUGGAUUUCACUGUGGUGGCAGGAAGCAGAAGUCAGUAGAGGACCAACAGACUUGACUCAAGAGGAAGAAAUUAAGCAAGAAGUUUUUGUCUAUGUUCCUGAAAAUAGCUUGGGGGAUUUCUUCGUUGGUGACUGAUAUCAAAAUGAUCUGCUUACAAAUCUGAGAAUAACAAGUAUACCAGCAUUAGAAGAGAAAUAAAAAACAUGUGUGCCUAUUCUGUCA
rnacentral:lncRNA from 1 species